rnacentral:rRNA from 1 species
GACGAACGCUGGCGGCGUGCUUAACACAUGCAAGUCGAGCGGGAUCCAACCGGUGGCAACACCGGGGAAGAUCUAGCGGCGAACGGGUGAGUAACACGUGAGCAACCUGCCCCGAAGACUGGGAUAACACCGGGAAACCGGGUGCUAAAUACCGGAUGUCGUCAUUAGGCCGCAUGACCUGAUGAUGAAAGGAAUUCAUCGCUUCGGGAGGGGCUCGCGGCUAUCAGCUUGNGGUUGGGGUAACGGGCCUACCAAGGCGACGACGGCUAGCUGGUCUGAGAGGACGACCAGCCACACUGGGACUGAGACACGGCCCAGACUCCUACGGGAGGCAGCAGUGGGGAAGUCUUGCGCAAUGGGCGAAAGCCUGACGCAGCAACGCCGCGUGGGGGAUGAAUGCC